rnacentral:rRNA from 1 species
AUGCGUAUGUUCUUGCAGCUUGGCCUUGGUUUCGUAUUGCUUGCAGCACAGUAUGCAUCAGGAAUUGUGGUUCCUAGUUCACAGUGUCGACGACAGUGUGGAAAUGUUGAGAUACCAUACCCAUUUGGUAUCGAUCCAGGCUGCUCGCUCACACAGGGCUUCCAGCUCAGCUGUAAGGUCCAAGACGGCAUCCCAAAGCCAUUCAGGGGUGCCUUUGAGGUGCUCGACAUUUCUUUGACUCAAGGCACAACCCGGGUGCUGAAUUACAUCUUGGGCUACUGCUAUAACACCUCUACCAGGAGCAUGGAGUAUUUUGGCCGGUACGGGGGGUUCAACGAAGGAGACCCUUCUUCUCCCUACCGGCUCUCCGACACCCAGAACAGGUUCACGGUCAUCGGGUGCAGCGCCCUCGCCUUGAUAUCUGACUACGAUGGCACAGGUUACCAGGGCUUGGGAGUCGCAACAUGCCGCAAUUUGUCAGACUUAGUGAACGGAUCUUGCUCAGGUAUGGGCUGCUCCCAGACCACAAUACCAAAGAGGAUGUACUACUACGACACAACUUUCUCGGCAUCGGUUAACACAAGUCAAAUCUGGGAGUUCAACCGCUGCAGCUAUGCGGUACUAAUGGAGGCAGCAGCAUUUAAGUUCAGCACUACGUAUGUAAACACAAACAAAUUCAAUGACACAUAUAAUGGACGGGUGCCUAUGAUUCUUGAGUGGGCUAUAAGAGAUGUGAAGUCAUGUGAUGCUGCAAAACAGAAUACAACUGGUACUUACGCAUGCCUCAGCGCCAACAGCAAGUGUGUGGAUUCCACCAAUGACCAAGGGUACACCUGCAAUUGCACCAAUGGUUAUGCAGGCAACCCUUAUCUUCUAGACGGAUGCAAAGAUGUUAAUGAAUGCAACCACAAUCCAUGCCCUUCAGAUGGCUAUUGUCGCAAUAUUGCUGGAGAAUACCGGUGUUCUUGUCGAGUUGGCAAAAAAUACGUCACGGAAAGCAAUACAUGCAACCCUAACAUCGGCUUCAUAAUAGGAGUUACAAUGGGAUUAUUUGGUUUAAUGGUUAUCGUCAUGAUCACUAUUUUCUGGGGACAAAUGAUACUUCAAAAGAGAAAAUUGAAUAAAGUUAAGCAAGAGUAUUUCCGCAAGCAUGGAGGCGUGCUUUUGUUUGAUAAGAUGAAAUCGGAGAAAGGUCUGGCUUUCAAUGUAUUUUCAGAAGCAGAACUCAUACAUGCCACCGACAACUUUGACAGUAGCAGAAUAAUUGGAAAAGGAGGCCAUGGGACUGUCUAUAAAGGUAUAAUAAAGAACAUGUCGGUUGCAAUUAAAAGAUGUGCAGUAGUUGACGAGAGACAGAAGAAGGAAUUUGGCCAGGAGAUGCUCAUUUUGUCCCAAAUCAAUCACAAGAAUGUUGUCAAACUCUUGGGUUGCUGCCUUGAGGUGGAAGUUCCAAUUCUAGUAUAUGAGUUUGUCCUAAAUGGUACACUAUUUGAGCUUAUCCAUGGCAAGAACCAAGCAUCGCAAAUAUCUUUCAACACUCUCUUAAGGAUUGCUCAUGAAGCAGCUGAAGGACUCAGCUUUUUGCAUUUGUAUGCAUCUCCCCCAAUAAUUCAUGGUGAUGUGAAAAGUUCCAACAUCCUACUUGAUGAUAACUACAUGGCCAAAGUGUCAGACUUCGGAGCCUCCAUACUAGCGCCAUCUGACAAAGAGCAAUUUGUCACAAUGGUUCAAGGUACUUGCGGUUACCUUGAUCCCGAAUAUAUGCAAACAUGCCAGUUAACAGACAAAAGCGAUGUGUACAGUUUUGGAGUUAUUCUUCUAGAGAUUCUCACAGGCCAGCUGCCACUGAAGCUCGAGGGGUCUGAGAAGCAAAGAAGCUUGUCAUUGAUUUUCUUGUCUGCAAUGAAGGAGAAUAAUCUAGAAGCUGUGUUGGUGAACCACGUGAAAGGCCAAGAGAGCAUGGAGUUGUUGAGAGGACUUGCAGACCUGGCUAAGAAAUGCCUAGACAUGUGUGGCGACAACAGACCCUCCAUGAAAGAGGUCGCUGAUGAACUCAACAGAUUGAGGAAACUUUCACUGCAUCCCUGGGUACAACUCGGCGUCGAGACAGAAGUAGAAAACCUUCUUGGAGGAGAUACUACUGGUGGGUAUGAAAUAGAAUUAAGUGGUUAUCCUAUGGGCGAGAGUGAGAACCAACCCAUAAACCCUAGAAGUUCCUAUUAUGCAAGGUGA